rnacentral:rRNA from 1 species
UGCAAGUCGAGCGAAUGAUGAGGAGCUUGCUCCUCUGAUUUAGCGGCGGACGGGCGAUUAACACGUGGGCAACCUGCCCUGUAGACUGGGAUAACUUCGGGAAACCGGAGCUAAUACCGGAUAAUCCAUUUCACCUCAUGGUGAAAUGUUGAAAGGCGCUUUCAGGCGUCACUACAGGAUGGGCCCGCGGUGCAUUAGCUAGUUGGUGGGGUAACGGCCUACCAAGGCGACUAUGCAUAGCCGACCUGAAAGGGUGAUCGG